rnacentral:rRNA from 1 species
UACGAAGGGGGCUAGCGUUGUUCGGAAUUACUGGGCGUAAAGCGCACGUAGGCGGACAUUUAAGUCAGGGGUGAAAUCCCGGGGCUCAACCCCGGAACUGCCUUUGAUACUGGGUGUCUGGAGUAUGGAAGAGGUGAGUGGAAUUCCGAGUGUAGAGGUGAAAUUCGUAGAUAUUCGGAGGAACACCAGUGGCGAAGGCGGCUCACUGGUCCAUUACUGACGCUGAGGUGCGAAAGCGUGGGGAGCAAACAGGA